GUCCAGACUCCUACGGGAGGCAGCAGUGGGGAAUAUUGCACAAUGGGGGAAACCCUGAUGCAGCGACGCCGCGUGAGCGAUGAAGUAUUUCGGUAUGUAAAGCUCUAUCAGCAGGGAAGAAAAUGACGGUACCUGACUAAGAAGCCCCGGCUAACUACGUGCCAGCAGCCGCGGUAAUACGUAGGGGGCGAGCGUUAUCCGGAUUCACUGGGUGUAAAGGGAGCGUAGACGGCCAUGCAAGCCAGGGGUGAAAGCCCGGGGCCCAACCCCGGGACUGCCCUUGGAACUGCAUGGCUGGAGUGCGGGAGGGGCAGGCGGAAUUCCUGGUGUAGCGGUGAAAUGCGUAGAUAUCAGGAGGAACACCGGUGGCGAAGGCGGCCUGCUGGACUGCGACUGACGUUGAGGCCCGAAAGCGUGGGGAGCAAACAGGAUUAGAUACCCCAGUAAC
rnacentral:rRNA from 1 species